CGUGUAGGCGGGAAAGAAAGUCAGAAGUGAAAUCCCACGGCUUAACUGUGGAGCUGCUUCCGAAACUUCUUUUCUUGAGUGUCGGAGAGGAAAGUGGAAUUCCAAGUGUAGCGGUGAAAUGCGUAGAGAUUUGGAGGAACACCAGUGGCGAAGGCGGCUUUCUGGACGAUAACUGACGCUGAGGCGCGAAAGCGUGGGGAGCAAACAGGAUUAGAUACCCUGGUAGUCCACGCUGUAAACGAUGGAUACUAGGUGUAGGAGGUAUCGACCCCUUCUGUGCCGCAGUUAACACAAUAAGUAUCCCACCUGGGGAGUACGGCCGCAAGGUUGAA
rnacentral:rRNA from 1 species